AACAUCGCCUCUUGUUCAACUAUAAGAGGUCUAGCCUGCCCAGUGACAUAGUUAAACGGCCGCGGUACCCUGACCGUGCGAAGGUAGCAUAAUCACUUGUUCUUUAAAUAAGGACCUGUAUCAACGGCAUCACGAGGGCUAUACUGUCUCCCCUCUCUAAUCAGUGAAACUGACUUCCCCGUGAAGAGGCGGGAAUAAGACUACAAGACGAGAAGACCCCAUGGAGCUUUAAACCCAAUAACAACCUCUAUUUCUUUAUAACUUAAAAAUCAAGAGGUACUGUCUAUUGGUUUUAGGUUGGGGUGACCACGGAGUAAAACUAAACCUCCAUGACGAAUGGUAUAUCCUAAUCCAAGAGCUACUGCUCUAAGAAUCAACAAUUUGACGUAAUAUGAUCCGGCAGCCGAUCAACGAACCAAGUUACCCUGGGGAUAACAGCGCAAUCCAUUUCAAGAGCCCCUAUCGACAAAUGGGUUUACGACCUCGAUGUUGGAUCAGGGUAUCCCAGUGGUGCAGCCGCUACUAAAGGUUUGUUUGUUCAACAAUUAAAACCCUACGUGAUCUGAGUUCAGA
rnacentral:rRNA from 1 species